rnacentral:rRNA from 1 species
CCCUUAGAUGUCCUGGGCUGCACGCGCGCUACACUGAUGUGUCCAGUAAGCACCUAACCUCUUCCGAAAGGAACGGGUAACCUUUGCAAAGCACAUCGUGAUGGGGAUAGAUUAUUGCAAUUAUUAGUCUUGAACGAGGAAUUCCUAGUACGCACAAGUCAUCAGCUUGUGUUGAUUACGUCCCUGCCCUUUGUACACACCGCCCGUCGCUCCUACCGAUUGAAUGUUCCGGUGAGCUCUUCGGACUGCGCGGUCUGCAGUUUCUGCGUUCCGUGCGGAAAGUUGCGCAAACCUUAACAUUUAGAGGAAGGAGAAGUCGUAACA